CAAUAUCUACGUUCAUUCCUGAUGGCUUGAUUGAUAUAUUUGCUUGGCAGCAUGUGGACACAUUCAUAGCUGCAUUCCAGGAUCUAGCAGAGGAGAGUGGACUACCAUUGAAGAAGCUUGAUAACAAAUUAGAGAAGUCUCUGUUGCAAUCUUAUGGAAAGGAAUUAACCUCACAAAUUUCUUCAGAAACAGAUCCGCUUGUGCUUUUGCCAAAGAUUGUAGCUUUUCUUUAUUUGCAGGUAUACAACAAGGCCCUUCAUACACCUACAAAGUCCGUAUCUGCUCUCAUUUCUCGACUUGAA